rnacentral:lncRNA from 1 species
CACACUGGAAAAACAAUGCAACCAACGGGUUCUCUCCAGUGGCAAAAUUGACUAAUUUUGAACUUGCACGACAUCUAAACAAGAACUACAUGAUACACAAUUUUCCAUCAUGCACCUCCUAUCCUGAGCAUAAAUGAAAUGAGAGAAGGGUAUCUUGAACAUCUAAACAAGAACUUGCAAUUUUUUCCAUCAUGCACCCAGAGAUUCUGCCUUCUCCCCUGGCCCUGAAACAAGAGCACCAUCAGUUUAGUUUUAAACAAAUUGAAAGUUCAAACAUGAGGCAUGUAGUUUUUCAAAUGAUGAAAGUUACAGAACUGAGCUAUUUUUGUUUUACUUCAAAUAAUUCAACAUGAAAAAAACAAAUACAGAUAAAUAUUUUUUGUGCGAAAUUCUGAAGCAGAUGUCAGUUCGACCUUUUUAACUACUUUUUUGCACAAGGAGAUGAUGUUAUUGAACUGGCUAGGUACAUUCAGCUUUACCUAGUAUGUUAUUGCCCUGGAACUGCAGCUUGUAUCUUUUACUGCUCAUCUUUAACAUUAAGAAAGUACUAAUCAGUACUAGUAUUUGUGUAAGUCAUACUGAUCAGUAUUGCUGCUUGUCGUACUGAUGAGCACUAAAUUUUUCAUCUAGUGGACUGCUAUUGGUUUUCAAGUUGGACUUGAGUACUUUUAAAUGGACUUUUUACAGAGCUCUGAUCAAAAUCUAGAUUCCAAGAAAAAAUGGCCUUCAUGGAUGGCAGUAUGUGAACUGAAGAGUGGGAGAGGAGGAGCACGAAGGUGUUUCUCACCAAUCGUGUUCCUGAUGGCGUGGUGGAUGGAGGCAUGAACUGAUGCUGGUCAUUUUGUUGAACCUCCACCGAAGAACCC